UGCCGCUGGACACAUCUCUUCCAUCACUGAGAAAAGAACCGCCCAAAAAACAUGUUUCUGUUGUUGCAACUGAUCCUCGCCUUCCACUAUGCCAACGCGGUGACGAUCCACCAGACCCCGGCAAUUUCCUCCCGUCCCGGCGAGGCCGUGGUGAUAGAGUGCACGAUAGAGGGAGGCAGCAGCGGGAGUGAUGAUACUCUCCUCUGGUACAGACAAUACCGGGGAAACGGACCGCUGGCGCUUUUCACCUCUACCAUAACCGAAUACGUGCAGCCGCCGGGCCCAGUGGACGGCUUCACGGCGGAGAGACCGAGUAACAACAAGUUCUAUCUGAAGUCCUCCGGCCUCCAGGCGAAUUCGUCGGCCGUGUAUUUCUGCGCCUGGAGAGAUCACGGCGACUCAGAGAGACGGAGACGCCGAACAAAAACCUCACAGUCUGUGUGGGUUUGGCUGUCGUCAGCAGCGAGAGGAUAUGCGUCACAAGUCAACACCUGA